AUUCACCAGAUGGAAAAAUAAGUUCUCUGGGUAACCACAUCGAGGCAUAGAGACCCACUACACUGGGAUGGUCCGAAGAAUAAACGAUGCACACAGCCAACCCUCCUAUAUAAUCAAAACUUGGCGGCACUUCAAAUUUGACAUUUUCUUCCUCUCUCACGACAUAGGUUAACGAUUAAGGAAUAACAUUUCAAGAGCGACAAAUUUCACCAAAUACAUCCCCCACCUUCCAUUUCUACAACACGGCGUGCAAAGUUUGUAUAAGCAAACAAUACGAGAAGGGCAGAGCGAGAGAGAGAGAGAGAGAGAGAGAGAGAGAGAGAGAGAGAGAGAGAGAGAGUAUCAUGCAACAAAACAUAAAAACUCAUCUGGGAGAAUUAUGACUCUUGUGAAUUGGUAGUAUUAUCGAUGCAUAUGUUAUAUGAUCUUCAAACUCGCUAUAGCGUGACUUUUUUUUUUUGUAUCUUUUUCAUCAACUUCAUUUGUUUUUUUUUUUUUUCAAGUAGAGCUGAUAAACUUAAAAUUUAUCCACAACCUAAAAAAUGGAAGAAAAAAAAAGAGGUGGAUGUACAAAAUCCUUGCUAUGCCCUCUAUAUUCAACAGAACAAUAAAUUGAGUUAACGGAUAUAAUUGAAGUACCAUAUUUGAUUGUGUUUGAGAACCAUAAUAAGGAAAAAAAAAAACUACUCUAGAAUGAAGGUAAAACUCGUGACAACAAUGGUGUACAUCUAAAAAAUAGUUCAAGCAGAUUAAGAUGUUAGCGCAUAGACAAAUAUCUCGUUUAUUGAACAAACGAUGAGGAUAACAAUGCCGUUUUCUCUCUUUCGAAAUUCAUAAACAACAAAAUUGAGAUUUGUUACACAAAAAUUACCAUAAAUUUUGACAGAAUUGGCGGUUGAAAUAUAAGUCCAGCAUCCAAAUCGAAAACAAUCAUAGGAGCUUAGAAAAUACCACAUCAACCUUUAGCAAGUAGUCUCAUAAGAAAUCCCAAUCAAGAUAAAACCAUUCAACAGUUUAUUAGACUUCUCCUUUCAUAUAAGAGCAUGGUUCGGAGGAUAAUUUAAUUGACCUCAUAACAUCUUUCUACAAAGAAAAAAUGAAAAAGAAAAUAGGGCCUCGACACCUGUGGCAAAACCCGACAUGGAUUAGAGUACUUUUCUGCCUAACCUUCUAUAAAAGCAAUAGGCCACAACUACUAUUGCCACUGCUCCAAUCAAGCUUGACAGCUUCCGUAAGGCAUCCUUCCUGGCACACGACUCCCUGGUUUCUUUCGGCUUUUUUUCCUCACUUCCACCGUUCUCCUCCAAACUUACUUCUUCGCAACAUGUAAAUCCAUCACUAUUAGCACCCUGGCAACAACCUGAAAAGUUCUCAUUAUUCUCAAUUUGAUUGCCCUUUUCUUGGUGAAUCUGAUUGCCAUUUUCUUGUGGCUUCUCCUCAAUUUUCUUAUUUUCUUCUCCAUUUGGAAGCUCCCGGUCAUUGAUUUCUUCAGCUUCAUCAGAAGAUGCUCCCAUUUGGCCCCUGUAACAAAUGAAAUUGAAUUUCGUGUUCAACUAUUUAAAGAUUCAACUCUAAGUUUCGUCAAUAUCAAUUGAGUAAGAACAUGUAUGAUCAAGCUUAAUAAACAAAUCACAACCACAUUACAAAUAAAAACAUAUACAGGGUAAUGCAGUUAUAUCCAAUUCUUUUGUGCUUUCUCCACAAAAGUUCCUCCAUGUUAAUGUAACUCUAUAUCAAUUAAUCUAUCAUACAAGACUAGACAUAAUCAGCAAUUGAAAACUACGACAACACAAGCUUCCGUCCAGUGAAAAUUUCAUCCAAAGAUAGGCAAAACCAAAAACGUACAAACCUCCACAGUCGUUUUAUAAUCUUUCCCUUCCCAAUAUGCUCAUCAAGCAAUUCCGGCACAUCAUCAGGAGUGACGUCGCCAUACCUGCAAUUAAUAAUACAUUUUAUUCAAAUUCCAUUGAUCCCAAUACAACAAAAUUUUAAAUUGUUAUGAUCCGAAUAUUACCAAUGGCCUGUUAUGCUUCCAUCUGAACCUGAGCUAUAGAUAAUCAUGUUUCCAUUGUGGCCUCCAGUGUGAAAGCAAGCAGCAACAAAUACCUGAUUCGUCAAUCCUCGCAGCUCAACCUCCUCUUUGAACUUAUAAAUGAGAACACGUGCACUAUCAUGAUUCCAUUCCUCUCGACUACCUUGUGCACAUACAAAUACAUGGGAGCCAGUCAACGGCUCUUGCACUCUGGAAGCCCAUGGCUUGUCAUUCACAAGGACAUCAUCAACAAAGUUGUCCACAUCCGACUCUUUCAAACCCCUUUGAUCAAGAAACAAAAACAAUCCCAAAAUCACAAAAAGGAAUUUACAGGAAACAAUAACCUAACACUCUUUAAUUCCUUAUAAGGCAAGGAAUUAGUCUUAAAUUGAGUCAUUAAAUUAAAUUUCUAGUACUAAUUUCAGAAGAUAACACAUAUCUAAUUAUCUACUUAGUUCAUGACAUUUAGCACAAUUUCGUAAUCAAAAGAGAAGUCGAAACAGAAAUUACUUCAGUCAAAACUAGGAAAAUAAAUUGCACUGCUCAUCUUGGUUAUGGAAUGGGCCCUUGAUUAUGAAUUAAUUACGGUUUGCCAUUGUGUGCGCUAGUGUGGGCCGUGCUUAACAACUGGGUUGGGCUGCUGCAUUUGGGCACAGGGUGCAGCUCUCAAGCGUUUUGGGCUGGGUUUCACCGAAAGAUCCAAUAACUAUUUUGCCCCCUUCAGUCCUAAUCCAACGGCCACCAUUUUGGGCGUUUGUGUUCUGCAAUUCAGUGGUUGGGGGUUGGGGGUUGUGGUGGGGGGGGGGCGUCAGGAUCUCUUCAAGGAGAUCGUGCAGAGAGGCAGCGAGAUGUUUCGGUUCUGUCUUCUUCGACUCUUAUAUCGUCCCUUUUUUCUGAAUUUUCUUUAUUUCUUAUCCUUUAAACUUUGUAUUUUUUUUUUUGGUGAUGCAGAUAGAUGAACAUGUUCAAAGGGAAAUCAUGAACCACAGAUCACUGCAUCCGAAUGGACCGAAUAUCGUUUGAUUCGAAGAGGUCAGUGAUCAUAAACUAUUUUAUAAACUAUUUUCAUUUUGUUUUUUAAGAAUGAAUUCGGCAAGUUCUGUUUGAAUUUUGUAUAAGUAUCUGCUGAUGGUGGGUGGAUGAAGACAGAACAUGCUAAAUUUGGCCUUUGGUGUGCUCAAACUGGUACGGGGGAUGGUUAAAACUUUGAGCCUGGGAUGCAGUAGGACUAACAGAAAUCCACCACUUGCAGAAUUGUUGUCAAAAUAACUCUGCUAAAAAUAUGAGCUAUACUUCUUGCACUUUGUUUUUACUGUGAAGUGGAAAUAGUCUUUAGAGUGGCUUAUUUGUGAUAAUUGAUAAAGAGGUUUGUGUUUAAGACUUGAGAGUAGUGCGGUGUCUUUCUCGCUGGUUCUGCUCACACCACCUCAUCUAGCCAUUGUGAUGGAGUACACGGCUGGGUGAGAACUCUUCGAGAGAGUAUGCAGUGCUGGCAGAUUUAGUGAGGAUGAGAUAAAGUAGUUUCAAAUGCACAGAAAAUUUCAUUGGAAUUGAUUUUAGUGUAGAGUCUCAAAUAUGGGAUCUCUAAAUGUCCCCUGAAAUGGAAUCCAUCUCGAUUUUUGCUUAGUUUCAGAUAGGGAAGGUUAUGUCUGAAGCAUUUUUACAUAAACAAUCAGUCAUAAUAUAACAAAAACGAACUUACUUUUUCGAUAUAAUUGUUGUUUUGCAUCAGGCAAGGUUUUUUCCUCCAGCAAUUGAUAUCAGGAAUUAGUUGCUGGCUUUUGAUGGUAUGUAAUGUGGCACUUUUCUGCUAAUCGUAUACUGUUAUUUCUCUUUUGAUAUUGGAAGUGUUGGUUGUAGUAAGGAAAUAAUUCGUUUCAAUAGUUUACGACUUAGUUUUAAUAGUAUAUGACUCAGUUUUUGAAUAGCACUCGGGUGGUUUUUGAAUAACAGUAUUACGACUUAGUUUUCUAAAUGCCAAUAACAGCUCUAGAUUUUGUCUCAAGUGGAGUAUUCUUACUAAUGUAGCAUUUUGUUGGCGCAUCAGUAUGUUUUGAUUGUUUCUCUGCUUGAACAGAGAAUUGUUAACGUCCAGGUGGGAACGUGGGUUGGCUCAUGUUUUAAUCUCUCCGUUGUAAGCAAUUUUACAUGGUAUUCUUCAAUGUAGCUAUAGGUAAGACAACAGUCUCAGUAUUCCAUAAUCUAACCACCAUUUGAACUUUUUUCAUCCACCAAGCUAAGCUUUUAUGUGCCAUCUUGAAUGGUUAUUAUAAGUUAUUGCUUCAGAUUACUCCAGUGCGACAUUAUUGUUCUCUUCCUUACCUCUCAAGCUUGCUUAAUGUCCUUAUUCUUAUUACUGUUGUAUUGUUAAGAAAUACUCAAAUGCGGUUUCAGUUCAUCAUUAUGAAUCAGAUUAAAAUUAACCACUCACUGGUUAAUUAUCUAAAUCCUAUAAAUUCAGAUUAAAAUUAAAGCAACUACAGAACAAAAACCUCAAGAAAUCAACACGAAUUUACCUGUAUUUGAUCAUUUGUGGGAAAAUCAACACAUCGCCAUUGGAAAACUCAGUUCCUUCGCGUCCUUCAAUUACUGUCAGCAACGUCUAUCAAAAACCAAGAAAAAAGUGAGUAACGGAGUCAAUUCAGCUCAACACCAUAACUUAGUAGCUCCAGGAACUAAGACACGGUAAGAAAAAAUAAUCGGAAAUGCUGACGAAUUGAGCUGGAAAAGGGACCUUAACGGUGAUGUCGUUCUUGCGAGCUUUGAGAGCGGAUGCAAAGAACUUAGGGAGUGGAUCGGACUCAGAGCCUUUGAUGCGCCAUGGCCAAGCCUCGGGGGUCUUGUAGCAGAGGAAAACUUGGCGAUUGCUCAACUGCGUAUCGUCCUUAGUGUCUUCAUCAGACUCAUAUGACAUAGUCUCAUAGUCGUACCAAUUAGUACGACCAUCAGACAAAUCCCAUUUUACAAUAUCCACUCCUGUUUUGUUCACCUUAAUAAUUGUAUUAUCUAGUCCAGAAAAUUCUGCUUUUACAAGAACCAUGUCACCGCUUUUCAGAUUGAGCUUCUUGUUUGAAAGAUUUCCCAACCAAAGAUAAUAUUCAUGGGAAGCAGUUACGGUGGCCUUCAUUGCCCAGACGCGAAAGUUAGUUCGCUGGGUACGAUUAACAACACCAAUGGUUAGAAUCCCAGUACAGUCAGAGUUGUCCGAAGAAUAAACGAUGCCCAAAGCCAACCCUCCUAUAUAAUCAAUACUUGGCGGCACUUCGAAUUUGACAGUUUCAUCCUCUCUUGCGACAUAGGCUAACCAGUUAGGAAUAUCAUUUCCAAAGAGAAAAAUUCCACCAAAUGCAUUUUUCUACACCAUGGGGUGCAAAGUUAGUAUAAGCAACAAUACGAGAGAGAGAGAGAGAGAGAGAGAGAGAAAGAGAG
rnacentral:lncRNA from 1 species